UACUUGUACCGACUGGAUGAGCAGCGAACGGGUGAGUAACGCGUGGGGAAUCUGCCUUUGAGCGGGGGACAACAUUUGGAAACGAAUGCUAAUACCGCAUAAAAACUUUAAACACAAGUUUUAAGUUUGAAAGAUGCAAUUGCAUCACUCAAAGAUGAUCCCGCGUUGUAUUAGCUAGUUGGUGAGGUAAAGGCUCACCAAGGCGAUGAUACAUAGCCGACCUGAGAGGGUGAUCGGCCACAUUGGGACUGAGACACGGCCCAAACUCCUACGGGAGGCAGCAGUAGGGAAUCUUCGGCAAUGGACGAAAGUCUGACCGAGCAACGCCGCGUGAGUGAAGAAGGUUUUCGGAUCGUAAAACUCUGUUGGUAGAGAAGAACGUUGGUGAGAGUGGAAAGCUCAUCAAGUGACGGUAACUACCCAGAAAGGGACGGCUAACUACGUGCCAGCAGCCGCGGUAAUACGUAGGUCCCGAGCGUUGUCCGGAUUUAUUGGGCGUAAAGCGAGCGCAGGUGGUUUAUUAAGUCUGGUGUAAAAGGCAGUGGCUCAACCAUUGUAUGCAUUGGAAACUGGUAGACUUGAGUGCAGGAGAGGAGAGUGGAAUUCCAUGUGU
rnacentral:rRNA from 1 species